rnacentral:piRNA from 1 species
CACUGGAUUGAACUAAUUGAGUUGUCU